rnacentral:rRNA from 1 species
AUGAGGGUCACUAUAUACAUCUGCAGAUUGGCAUUUAUCAUUCAGAUUUUCAACUUACAUUUUCAAGGGAUACGACUACUCUUCGGGCGUGUGGCAAUUAUGCAGGUGUUUGGCGGCGGCGAGACGGCCACCACGUUGAUGCUGCACGUCUACGAUGGCGCGCUGAAGUACUACAACCAGAAGCCCGUCGAGGACAACAUCUACGACCGGUGGCUCCGGGUGAACGUGAUCCAUGAUGUCGGCGCGUCGAGACUCACCGUGUUCGUCGAUGGCGAAAAUAAACUGAGCGUCGCCGGCCGCGGCGGCAGCUCGCACUACUUCAAGUUCGGCGUCUACACGCAAAGGGACGCGUCCAGCCGCAUGGAGUCGCGCUGGAAGAAUGUCAGGAUUCUCAAGAAAAACUGA